GACGAACGCUGGCGGCGUGCUUAACACAUGCAAGUCGAACGGAGCACCCCUGAAGGAGUUUUCGGACAACGGAUGGGAAUGCUUAGUGGCGGACUGGUGAGUAACGCGUGAGGAACCUGCCUUCCAGAGGGGGACAACAGUUGGAAACGACUGCUAAUACCGCAUGAUGCGUUGGAGCCGCAUGACUCCGACGUCAAAGAUUUAUCGCUGGAAGAUGGCCUCGCGUCUGAUUAGCUAGUUGGUGAGGUAACGGCCCACCAAGGCGACGAUCAGUAGCCGGCCUGAGAGGGUGAACGGCCACAUUGGGACUGAGACACGGCCCAA
rnacentral:rRNA from 1 species